rnacentral:rRNA from 1 species
GAUGAACGCUGGCGGCGUGCCUAACACAUGCAAGUCGAACGGAGCUGUCGAGCUUGCUUUGACAGCUUAGUGGCGAACGGGUGAGUAACGCGUGAGCAACCUGCCCUUGAGAGGGGGAUAACAUCGGGAAACCGAUGCUAAUACCGCAUAAAAUAUGCAGAUGGCAUCAUUGGCAUAUCAAAGGAGAAAUCCGCUCAAGGAUGGGCUCGCGUCUGAUUAGAUAGUUGGUGAGGUAACGGCCCACCAAGUCGACGAUCAGUAGCCGGACUGAGAGGUUGACCGGCCACAUUGGGACUGAGACACGGCCCAGACUCCUACGGGAGGCAGCAGUGGGGAAUAUUGGGCAAUGGGGGGAACCCGUGACCCAGCAACGCCGCGUGAAGGAAGAAGGCCUUCGGGUUGUAAACUUCUUUGACAGGGGAAGAAGGAAGUGACGGUACCCUGAGAACAAGCUCCGGCUAACUACGUG